AAACACAGUACAUGUAAAUGAAACUUCACAGCAUUACUGAAAGGUUACUCGGCUAAAUGUUAUUUUCUUUUGAACCCACAAGUCAUGGUGGAAUCUACCAGCAUAUACAGGGGGAAAUAUAUUCUGUGUUGCUGUGGUUGCGGCUCAAUAUAAUCUAUUUUCGAGGUGGUCUUCAGCUUGUAACUGAACCUCUAAAUAUCAUGGAAAAGAGCCAUCAUCAUCAUCCCCACCCGUCUCAUUUUGAACCGUAUCUACCCAAAGUGUGCUUCUUUGUGAACUGACGCUAUAUAAAUAAAUAAUUUAAAUACAAAUACUGAUGACUUUACAGAUGCAACAUGAAUCUUGGAAAUCUUCCACCCCAAAUACACUUGUUACUGGAUAUGCUUGAGUACCUCCUUAAAGGCCACACGUACAACACCAAGCGAGCUAUGUUUUUUUAACUUAAAAGAAUUACUUUCAUUCUUAUGUGGCACUAUAACUUUAAAAUAUCAGCAUAUUACAUGACUUAAAAUGAAACAAAAAAUCCUAUCGCAGUGCAUAGUACGGUAGCAUUGAAUUUUUUCUAAAAGUACAUUCCGUCCGAACAUCCAAAGUACUGCUUCUGUCGGUAUCCAAAAGAAAUUACGGCAAUAUUCCACAGAAUGUUGUUCCGUGAUGUAGCUGUAAUUUGACCCUCUCACCGAAGGUUUGAGCCUUCGAUGUUUCAUCUAGAAUCAGUCUGGACGCUCAUGCUGCUUCUCUGAACCUCAAAGCGCACUGGCGCGAAUUUUGGCACUUCGACUGAAGCUCCUUGAAGCAAUUGUUCAGAAUCCACUAUGACGAUUUUUCAUGCUCGCGGAAUUGGAGAGAUUGUGAACUGGGAUAGAUACUGGCAAUUGGGAUGGGGUCACUUGACUAGAAAGUAUGUGUCCUGUCCGUCCCUUAAAACCACGCUAUGAGCCUUUGAAGCUUGCUAGUAGAAUACAUCAUAACAAGUACGAUGUGAGCUUUUACUAGCCCACCAUAUAAUCCUGCAGAGAAACCCUAGCCUGAUCCCCGACUGACUGAGCUACAGUGGCUAAACCUGCAAACUCCACCCUACAUCCCAGUCACGCUAGUAACCUGUUCUGUCCAUACAGAAGUUACAUUAACACGAGAUUAAUAGAGAUGAAGCCUUGCCUCUCCUUUCACUCAAACCCUUGGUCAUCCUCUCCACUUCGAUUCCCGAAGCCUCACAACACCACUAUCAGCAGGAACUUCGCGAGGAAUUCUGAUGCAUCCACACGUAGGGACUGUCAACUUCGGACGCUCAGGCGGGUUACGUCAUUCUACUUUCUUUCUGGAGCUUCGUCAAUCACAGCAAAGCAUUCUGGUUGAAAUGAGCACCCAAUUAACUGUAUUGCCCCUCGUCAUCGAAUGAGAACCAGUGAUUUCCGGAACAACGGAGAACAACGGAGGGUACCGUCUGCGGAGUCAGGCCAUGCAGUGAGAACACUACCAAACGAACUUGAGCAGAUAUUCUUCACAUAAGACGUCCGCAAGCCCUUGUCUCUGGUACGCGUCUUUAAACGAAUCACUUCUUAGAGGUACGUCUUAUCCACUUCCACCUGCGAAUGUCAUCGUUCUCAGCCAGGAGCAUAAUUUUCUUGAAGACAUGAAUACUAGAUUAUUUAUCCAAUAUUGUUAACAGGUGCCUUACGCUUCUUUCUGCCUAAUCUAUAUGCUGCAUGGCAUCACUCGUUCUACCACCAGGUGAUAUAAUUUAACCUGUUGUUGUGACGAACUGAUGUGCAGAGCAGGCUCCUCAGCAGCUUCCCUGCCUUAACUUUUAGAGUGAUAACCAUGAACACUUUUUAUCUCACACUUUUCAAGCUAGUUCAAAUCCUCCAAAAAGAUUCACCAAUAUUUAGCCUGCAAUGGUACGCCAUCACUUGCAACUGCUAACUAAUCGUGAAAUGCAACACUACUUAGAUUUCAUGAGCGGUCAGUGGCUACCCACAGGAAUGGUUCAUAGGGCGUUCUGUCCUCUUCCUGAUCUGCAAUACGGUACAACUCUUCAUGAUCCUAAGAUAUGAUUUAUCAAGUCAUUAGGCUAGUUACCACAAGCUAGUUUUCUUGAUCUGGCCGUUAAUUGUGUUGUCUCAUUGAUUCCCCUAAACUUGUUCAUGAUACUCUGUUAAAUUGUUCUUUAACUAUCAACCUGCAUUGAGUCCAUGGCAUGAGCUAAUUUAUUCAGGCUUGUGAAUGGAAGUUGAAUUUUGCUCACCGAAUUACUCAAUGAAUUUCUGAUUACCGAUUACCACCGCGGUCCCCGUAGAGAGGCGAAGCAAGCGCUGGCCUUUAUGACUAUCCAUAUUAUGAAUCCUUCAUUCAUGUCAAUCACUGCCUAGAAACCCCUUUUCAAAAGUUUCUUCAGUAUUUAGAUGAUCUCACCAUUUAACAAUUACUCUUGUUUGUAUAGCUCUCAAAACCUUGUUGCGACAGCGGCGUUUACUCUGAAGCUAGCUUUCUAUGAGAGCUCCUACUUGACCUCAGUGAGAAUUUACUGAUGCCCGUAUGUAACAGACUUAUCGACCGUUACUACGACGUGCGCAAUCGCUAUGAGCUUCAGUCUUGAGAUUCAGGAUCAAGACUCAAGUAUCAUAUUGGAAAAUGCAGACCACAACCUUUGUUACCUCAGCUUGGCUAAUGGUUUGCGUUGUCUCAGGUGGGAUCUGAAGGUCAGUGCUUCGAAACAACUCGUGUCUAUCGUAAUGACGCACCUAAGAUGAUCCCUUCGUGGAGGCCUCCGUAGUCCAGAUCCCAAACAAAAGGCAAGCGAGAUUCUAGAGUAAUGACCUUCAAGUCCCAUUUGAGACAAUGCAAGCGAUAACCUACAAUUAUCAUUCUCAUUUGUUUACAUCGCCUUCUUUCUCAUGACUUUGUUUGGAUUCUGUGGAAAAAGGUUCUUUACUGACAACGUGUGCAAUCGCUAUGUGCUUCAGUCUUUUUACUCUCCUUUUCUUUUCUUUCAGGCUUCUUCUCUAAGUUUUAUCUCGCGUAACACUUGACAAUAUUUUCCAGUUGUUCCGUGAUACGCUGGAUGCUCUGGCCAGCCAAAAUCUGUUAUGGAUCACAGUUGGAGACCCAAGGUUGAAUUCUGCACUGUAGGCGCUGCUCCGUUAAGACUACAUAGACAACUUCCCUCUUAGAGAUUAGUAACCGACCCAAACCACUAGUCUUACUGCAAAGUCUACGAGUGAAGCACAGUAAAAGUCUUGAAGAAAUAAUUGUCUACAACUCGAGUAAUGUCUGAUGUUGGAGCUGAAUUGCAUCGACGUCAUUUCGGAGCAACAUGGCAGUAGGAAUCGCUUACGCCACGGAGAUGUCGUCAUGGAGGCGUAACAUAUUUAAUAAAGUCCCAUAGUUAGGGGCUAAGUGGAUACGCGAGGACCUCACCAACUAGGCGAAUCUGUCCACAUCAGUUGCCAGUCAUUCACUUUCUGCCUGAAAACAUGGAAGAAUCUUGUUCUGAAUAUUGGGUCGGCCUACGCAACUGUUUGGAACAAGCUACUGUGCCUUCAAUGCUGAAUGUACAGACGUUGCGGGACACACGACACGAGGUUCGUUGUGUCGGUGCACCCUUUAAUUAUGCGGUGGUUUCUUUUCGAGAAAGUAGGUUGCAUGUGUGUCAUUCGUCGGAUGCACGUAAUCGAUCUGGAAAAAGAUAAACCUCUUUUAAUUUAUUCUCUGACAAGAAGCUUCGACUAGGCUUAGCCUGAAGGACCGCUGACGUCACUUGUUGUCACCUUUCCAUGUCAUAAAUCUGCAUUAGGAACUUGCUUGUGUGUAAUUGAAACCCAGCUUUCAAUUCUGACGGUACUCGAAGUAAACUACCACCCCAACCAAAGUAAUAAAUACCUAGUUUCAACAACUAAUAUAAAGGAAAAGGAAGCCUGUAUAAAUAACAAACACUAGCGAUGGUUUUGGUGUUAUAUUUCAACGAGACUUUUUCAUUUCGGGGUACAUGUAUUUAACCAUUAAAUAAACUCAUAUAACGAUGCAGACCUCAAUGUAGCUUUCAUGACGAACUCUUAUUCUCUAUCUUUCUUUCUCCUUCUUCUACUACUUUUAGUUUUUUAUUUUUAGAGAUUUCAAAGUGGAUUUUUAUCAUAGCAAACUAAUCGUAAGGUCUGCCUGUGAGUUGGUUAAUUAGCUCGAGGAAAAACUAAUAGUCCUCCAGUUCAAGCCACAACUAAACAUAAUGUUUGAGUUACUCAAUCACUUGCUCUCACGUGUUGGAUUUUCGUAGAGUUGUCUUUAAAGCAUGAUAAAAAAAGUGUUAUCGUAUAUGAAUUCUCCUUAGUUAAUUUCCUUUCUAUAAGUUAUAAGCUAUCUCUCUCUCUCCAUACUGGCCCCUUGUGUUAUUUUUUCUCUUCUUUUCUUGGAGAUAUUAUUUUUAUACAAAUAGUCAUUUAUAUUAUACAGCAUUAAACAUUGUAUAAUUUAUCUGCUCUCUAUGCGUUUGUUAUUUUGAUGAAUAAUGAGAUAAUGUAUCUCAGUUCACGACGUUUUACAAUGGAAUUAUUGUCUAGAAAAUUCAAGAGUGAGAAGGAGUAGUUAGACGGAAUUCUUAAUUUGUUCCAAAGACGAAUUACUGAGAACCAUCGAUUAAUGCCACAAGGUUAAGUUCUUUUAAAUUUUUUUUAUUUUAAGUAAACACUGGCUCAUUUCACUACUAGAAAAAUAAACUAUCAGUGACGAAAAUUCUGACUCAUGGAAGUUUUUACUCGUACAUUUCGUACAACUGUCUUAAGUUCUUGUUUGCUGAUUCUGCAGUAAAUAUUUAGUUGUAGUUCUCGAAGUUUGAUUUUUGCCGAAAGGAAAAUGUUGUACCAUAUGUAAGGUGCACGUCCAAGUCUGCAUUUGAAGAAGCAUUAAUCACACUGGAGGCCAUCCGCCGAGAAUCACAAUUAGGUUUUCCACAUCGCGAUAAGCUUCAAUGCUGCAAUAAGGACGACCAUCAGCCUGACAAAAGAUCCAAAGACUGGGGCAACUGUGAGCACAACACAGAUAUGCAAGUGGGAGUCCAGCCGCAUCAUACGCAAGAUUCAUAAUAUUUUCUACCGUUACGCUGCCAUGUGCGUUGCAUGCUUCGGUUCCCACAGCCUUCACAUCAGUUUCAACCAGAGUUCUAGAUGGUGAUGCACUACCCAUCACGAAGGGUCGGCAUCAGACUGGGAAAUCUAUGCACCCACACAACACCAAUGGUCAUGUAGGUUGAAUUGAUCAACCGUGCCUUCGAUGGAGCCCCUGGAGCUCCAUUACGUGCAGGUUUAGACAUCUUAUCUGAGUUUGUUGUUUAGAUGUGUGUGUUAUAAGACUGUCAUAGCAGUGUUUUCUGCGUAGUAAUUUUUAUGUAUGAUUUUGAACUGUUGUAAUAGUAGAGGAUUAACAGUUCAUGUUUAACUGUCAGUGUUUAUGUUUAAUAUAUGACACAAACUUUCAGUGU